rnacentral:rRNA from 1 species
AUACGGAGGAUGCAAGCGUUAUCCGGAUUUAUUGGGCUUAAAGGGUGCGUAGGCGGGACUGUAAGUCAGGGGUGAACUACUGCAGCUUAACUGUAGCAUUGCCUUUGACACUGCCGUUCUUGAGUACAGUUGAGGUAGGCGGAAUGUGGUGUGUAGCGGUGAAAUGCAUAGAUAUACCACAGAACGCCGAUUGCGAAGGCAGCUUACUAAGCUGUUACUGACGCUGAGGCACGAAAGCGUGGGGAUCAAACAGGAUUAGAUACCCUGGUAGUCCACGCUGUAAACGAUGAUUACUGGUUGUUAGCGAUAUAUAGCUAGUGACUGAGCGAAAGCAUUAAGUAAUCCACCUGGGGAGUACGUCGGCAACGAUGAAACUCAAAUGAAUUGGCGGGG